AGGGCGUACGGCGGAUGCCUUGGCCAUAUCAGCCGAUGAAGGACGCGAUAAGCUGCGAUAAGCUGCGGUGAGGUGCAAGUAACCUUCGACCCGCAGAUCUCCGAAUGGGGAAACCCGGCAGUAGUAGUACUGUCAUCCUCUCUGAGGAAGGGCACCCGGUGAACUGAAACAUCUAAGUAGCCGGAGGAAAAGGAAUCAAAAGAGAUACCCCUAGUAGCGGCGAGCGAACGGGGCAGAGCCCAAACCGGAAUGGGAAACCAAUCCGGGGUUGUGGACUGCUAUCAAGUGCACGAGCGAAGCAGAAUGAGCUGGGAAGCUCAGCCAGAGAGAGUGAGAGCCUCGUAAGCGCAAACGAAUGCACGGAGCAGUAUCCAGAGUACCACGGGACACGAGAAACCCUGUGGGAAGCUGGGGGGACCACCCUCCAAGGCGAAACACUGAUAUGGACCGAUAGCGCAUAGUACCGUGAGGGAAAGGUGAAAAGAACCCCGGGAGGGGAAUGAAAGAGAACCUGAAACCGUAUGUCUACAAGCAGUCGAAGCACUUUUUAGGUGCGACGGCGUGCCUAUUGAAGAAUGAACCGGCGAGUUACUUCAGCUAGCGAGGUUAAGUGGGAAACACGGAGCCGCAGCGAAAGCGAGUCUGAACAGGGCGUCUAGUUAGUUGGAGUAGACCCGAAACCACAGUGAUCUACCCAUGUCCAGGUUGAAGCACAGGUAAAAAUGUGUGGAGGACCGAACCAGUGAGCGUUGAAAAGCUUUUGGAUGAGAUGUGGGUAGGGGUGAAAUGCCAAUCGAACGUGGAGAUAGCUGGUUCUCCCCGAAAUAGCUUUAGGGCUAGCCUCAUGGCGAGAGUACAGGCGGUAGAGCACUGAACGGGGUAGGGUCCUAUCCGGAUACUGAACCUAAUCAAACUGCGAAUGGCUGUACUUAUCCAUGGGAGUCAGACUGUGAGUAAUAAGGCCCAUAGUCAAGAGGGAAACAGCCCAGACCAACAGCUAAGGUCCCCAAUGCCGUACUAAGUGGCGAAGGAUGUGGAAUUUCGAAAACAACCAGGAUGUUGGCUCAGAAGCAGCCACCAUUAAAAGAGUGCGUAAUAGCUCACUGGUCGAGAGACUCUGCGCCGAAAAUGACCGGGGCUAAAGUACGGAACCGAAGCUUUGGCAUGUAGUUUACUACAUGGGUAGGGGAGCGUUCCUGCAUGGGAGAAGCCUGACCGGAAGGACAGGUGGACAGGCAGGAAGAGAGAAUGCCGGUAUGAGUAGCGAAAAGAAGGGUGAGAAUCCCUUCCACCGAAAGCCUAAGGGUUCCUGGGCAACGAUCGUCGUCCCAGGGUAAGUCGGGACCUAAUCCGAGGCGGAGACGCGUAGGAGAUGGACAACAGGUUGAAAUUCCUGUACUGGCUGAGACCGUUCGAGCGAAGGAGUGACACAGGAAGGAAGGCGCGCGUGCGAUUGGAAGAGCACGUCCAAGCAGGUAGGUUGAGAGACAGGCAAAUCCGUCUCUCGUAAGGCCGAGAUGCGAUGGGGAGCUUCUGGAGACAGAAGCGAAGGGGCUGGCACUCAACUGUCGAGAAAAGCUUCUAGUGAGGUCUCAGGCACCCGUACCGAAACCGACACAGGUAGGCAGGAUGAGAAUUCUAAGGUGCGCGGGAAAACCCUCGUUAAGGAACUCGGCAAAAUAUAUCCGUAACUUCGGGAAAAGGAUAACCCAGCGUACGUGAAGAGCAGAAACGCUCGGAGCGGAGAUGGGUGGCAGAAGAGAGGCCCAAGCGACUGUUUACCACAAACACAGGCGUCUGCUAAAGCGAAAGCUGAUGUAUAGAUGCUGACACCUGCCCGGUGCUGGAAGGUUAAGAGGAAGUGUUAGCGCAAGCGAAGCAGUGAAUUGAAGCCCCAGUAAACGGCGGCCGUAACUAUAACGGUCCUAAGGUAGCGAAAUUCCUUGUCGGGUAAGUUCCGACCCGCACGAAAGGAGUAACGAUUUGGGCACUGUCUCAACGAGGGACCCGGUGAAAUUGAAGUACCUGUGAAGAUGCAGGUUACCCGCGACUGGACAGAAAGACCCCAUGGAGCUUUACUGUAACCUGAGAUUGGAUUCCGGUAAGAGAUGUACAGGAUAGUUGGGAGGCUGAGAAGUGAGUACGCCAGUAUUCACGGAGCCAAUGGUGGGAUACCAACCUUGUUUUAUUGGAAUUCUAACGAGAAGCGUAACGAGCUUGCGGACAGUCUCAGGCGGGCAGUUUGACUGGGGCGGUCGCCUCCGAAAGAGUA
rnacentral:rRNA from 1 species